GGGGCAGAGGAGCUGGUUCCCCCCUAUUUUUCUUGGCACAGCUCUGGUUCCCAGGAGAGUGGAGGACUCAGACUGAUGUAGCUUCUGGAGGCUGUGAGGCAGCUACAAACAGGGAUGGAAAGGGAACAAGACUGAAGGAAAUGGAAACCAUGCUCUCAACCGUAGUGUGUGGUUGGAAGACUAAGCAAUGGGCAUAACUUAAAGGAAGAGAUUGUAAGAAAGGAGAAACUACUUUUCUGUGAAGACAGCCAAGCAGUGGAGAAGAAGGUCAGGAAGCCUGCAGACUCCAUCCUUGGAGGUCUGCAAGACCCACUUGCAUAAAACCCUGAGCAACCUGUUCUGAUCCUGAAGCUGACUCCACUUUCAGAACAAAGUUGGGUUAGAGACACCAGAGAUUCCAUCCAGCUUGAAGAGGUUUUCCGUUAACUACCUGAUCUCUCAAAAGGCUGAUUGCUGCUGAACACCUUUCACAUCAGUUUGACAGCACCCUCACCAGUGACCCAUUUACCAGGAGAGUAGCUGGAUGCCUUCUUAUUCCCAGAUGAGUCACACUGCCAUGGUUGUGUAGACACAUAUGCUGUUUUGUAGAGAACACCAAGAAGAACCAUGUUACCCAAGCCUUUUUUUCAGCUCAAUGGUAAAAGCUUUUGGACUGUCUUUUGCUCAAGUUGAUCCUACUUCAAAAAGCUGAAUUGUGUGUAUGUGUACAUGCAAGCAUAUAAAGCUUAUUCUGUAACCACUCUGUGCUGGAAGCAAACAUUUGUAGUUCUGUUGUGUGGGUGCCUGGGCCAGUUGGCAAAGUUUGUCAUAGCGAUUUAACAAUCAAAAGCUGCAAUGCCUAAGCAUUGCUGCUCAGUUUUCAAAAGUAUAUUUAAAAUUAACAUGUCUUCCAGGGCCAGCUGCUGACACCCCUAAGGAGUACUCAGUAGUACUUCACUCUUGCAAAUCUGUUUCAGUUGAUGAUAGAUUUCCUUACAGAGUAAGAGUUGACUCAUUGUGAGUAAAGGCAUCAGCAUUCAGACUCAAGUCAGCAACAAAGAGAAGUAAA